ACACACUUGGUGUGUGUUCUGUACGUGAUCAGGGGAAGGCUCUAGAGAGCCAAACCCUAGUUCAUCAUAUAUCAUCCAAUUGAAGGAUGAAUCAAGGCUCGAAUUCAAGAAGGAACAUUAAUUAACGAUCACCCAAGCUAGGGGAUCAUAAGGAAUCAUGUCAAGAUGGUUGAGAGCGUGGAAGGCUAACUGGCUAAGAAGACUCAAGUAAGCGAACGCAAAUACGGGCGCGCAAGGUUAUACAGGUUUAUGGAUUUCUCAUCAUUGAGUGUAUGCGGUCGAAGAUCGAGUUAAGACAUGGAUUGUACGUGUGGGUGCAUGGUCACGUAAUUUAGUAUAAGUAUGUCAGGUCUUAAUUAAAUAUAUAGAAAGGAUUAAAGUAUUUAAGGUGAAAGAAUGAAUAUAACGAAAGAAAUUUUAAAUA